rnacentral:lncRNA from 1 species
UGCGCGCGCUGUGACGUUCCCUACGCGGUCGGGCGUUGGGUUUCGCGGCGCUCGCCGCACUGGUUGUUCAGCACCUUCGGUCCGGUUGAGGUUGUCAAGUCGGACCAAACAGGUUGUUUCUCUGCAGUUUCCAACAUGGCAGGGAGGUUUAAUAGACAUGGAUAAGAAGUCCACUCACAGAAAUCCUGAAGAUGCCAGGGCUGGCAAAUAUGAAGGUAAACACAAACGAAAGAAAAGAAGAAAGCAAAACCAAAACCAGCACCGAUCCCGACAUAGAUCAGUGACGUCUUUUUCUUCAGAUGAUCCUAUGUUUCCUUCUUCCUCAUCAUCGUCUUCAGGAAGCCAGACAGAUUCAAGUAUUGAAGAUGCUGCCAAGGGAAAAAUUAAGAAGAAGAGAAGAGAGAAAACAAAUAAAUGGGAAAAAAGAAAGGCUGCACAAGAAUGGCGCCAGUAUCUGCUUCUGGCAAGAGACUGAGGCUGCUUCCACUCAUGGCAGAAGGUGAAGGGGCGCCUGCAACUGCAGAUCUCAUGGACAAAAUAUGAAACACCAAGAAAAAGAGAAGGAAAAAAAGGAGGAAACAACCACAUAUGUCACCUUUCCAAGAGGGACUGAAACUGGGCUGACCCUUUUGAUUUCCAAGCUCAGCGUUUUGGUGUAAGGCGGCCAAAGAAGGAUGCGGAGCCCAGCACUGUGAAGCCUACAAAAACAUUGAUGCGCUGGCUUGGGGAUUUGAAUUUGAACAUCUUUCACACUAAGUUCAGACUCAUGAAACCAAUCUUCAGAUGCUCUGUAAACCACAUAAUAAAGAGUUUGGAAAU